UGGGGCGGAGGGUUAGUUUUAACAGCAAAGGGCCUUUACUAAAAUGGCGAAGGCCUUCCGUCGGCGUUGUUUUAAAAUGGGAAGCCUCGACCCUGUAUUGAAACUGAGCUGUUCGAAGGCGGCGUUGUGUGCAAUUCGGAUUAAUGAAGGGGAAGGGUUUUGUGUGGAAAAACGCCUUGGAGUGUGACAUUUCUGCGAGAAUGCUUAAAUACCGAUUUCCCGCAGGAACAAUGGCGCUGUCUUCAGUGGCACAGUGGAGCAGCUCUGAAGAUGCAAAGAUACACGAAAAAACUUCCAGAACAUCUGGGAGAAUAUUUAAUGGAAAAUCGCUUGGUUAAAACCUGACACUUUUAACAGUGAACAGCGUUCUGAGUGUGGACGAGUAGCCAGUGAAGAUAAUGAAUGUCGAAUGUGACUGACUAGCAGCUUCAUUUUGAAGUAGUGAGGGUCGCUGUCUGCCCAUUGAUAGAGGCCAGAUUGUCUUGGAAGUUCCAAAGUUGCAACGAUUUCUGGCUAGUGCCACGAGGUUUACUUGACUGUUGUGUGAAAAGCUGAUAAGAAAACCAUCCAGAAAAAAGCUCUUCGUUUUACAAACAUG
rnacentral:lncRNA from 1 species